rnacentral:lncRNA from 1 species
CUGGCCUGGCUGGCACUGGGCAGGAGUGGGAGCAUCCCAGCAUCCCUGAGCUUCAUCCCAAACACAAUUGUUUGAGUCCAGCCAUAAAGGAGGAGGAGGAUGGCUCAAAAAAUAAAACAUGGGAUUUGUGCACCUGUGACCCAAACCACGUCCAGAAGUAUUCUGCUGUGAAAUUGCCGAGGGGCACAAGGCCGAGGUGGGUCUGCCUUCAGACGGAACACAGCAAUUCCAGACACGGAGAUGUUUGCAAAGGACAGCAAAAGUGCACAGCCUUCCACAGAGCCCCACGCUGCAGAACCCAGCGUCGGAGAGACUGCCACAGACCGCAGGCAGUGACAGGGAGCAACAGCCCCCUCCUGCCGAGGAAGGACACUGAAAUUACAUUUCAAGUCUGGUUUCAUUUCUAUGAGACCAUGGAGGGUUGUUGUCACUGGGCCCACGCACACACUGAGGAAACCACAGCCCUCAAUUUCUUCAGAAGACACUGCUAAUUCACACGGCUCUAAUUGAGACCUACUUUCAGACACAUCAUCUGCUAUGAGACACCCUCCAAAGAAGCAUUUUGUAGCACAUUUUCCCAUCCUGAGGAAUUAAACAACGCAGAUAAAGAAUUUUGGGGAAGGUUUUGGGUUCACAGUGUAUGAGAGGCCACAUUACUUCACUGGAGCAACUUCUCUGGAUGACAGCCCUCAUCUGGAAGCACCAGCCCCAUCCUGUCAUGCCCAAAGCAAAAGAAU